GGCCGCGAAUUCGCCCUUAGGGUUUGAUUAUGGCUCAGAUUGAACGCUGGCGGCAGGCCUAACACAUGCAAGUCGAGCGGUAGCACAGAGAGCUUGCUCUCGGGUGACGAGCGGCGGACGGGUGAGUAAUGUCUGGGAAACUGCCUGAUGGAGGGGGAUAACUACUGGAAACGGUAGCUAAUACCGCAUAAUGUCGCAAGACCAAAGUGGGGGACCUUCGGGCCUCAUGCCAUCAGAUGUGCCCAGAUGGGAUUAGCUAGUANGUGGGGUAACGGCUCACCUAGGCGACGAUCCCUAGCUGGUCUGAGAGGAUGACCANCCACACUGGAACUGAGACACGGUCC
rnacentral:rRNA from 1 species